GGGGGGGCAAAGUUCACCUGGCUGGUGUGCAGCGUGCAUCCGACUCUUUCGGUUCUCUCGGCGCCUCAGAGAUUUUUGGGCUGCAAACGGGAGGAUGUGGAAGUUGGACGAGAGCAGCUGCAGCACGACCCCUUGAUCGCCCGGCCGGCUCCCUCUCUCUCUCUCUGAGGAGGAUGCGUGGCAUCAGGUAACCGUGUUCUUUACUCAUUAGCUGGAAGCACAGGAGGAACCGGUUCCUGUGGUCAUUCAGAGCAGUAAACUCCUCUCAGCAGGUACGAUGGCAGCGGACGAAGUGGAGACACGUGGAGGAAGGUGAGACGUUAACGUCCAGAUGCAGCUGACCGCUCGUUAAACGUCAUGUCAUGUGUCCCACAGAGCAGCGCUUCAUGUUAGCGACGCUAAUUCAUAUUUUUUUAGAGUCACGUGUGAAACUUCCCCCUGUCGAAUAUGAAAGACGACACUUUUUGGAUCUUGUUUUCUGAGAGUCUGCAUAUGCAAAUGAGGCAGAUUAUUAUUGUGUUAACCUUUUUAUCUGUUGUAUUUCAUUGAUCUGCUUCUCUGUGUGAAAGUUAUUGGAAACUUGCCAGAUGAAUGUUGUUUUGGGGAAUAUUAUCGAUCAUUGGAACUAAAUGUCGUCAUUAAUUUCUUUCUACACACUUUUAUUUGUUUAUUCAUUCCCUUAUUUGAAAAAAAACUCUUCUAUUCUAAACUCAAGUCUAUUUAUAAAUAUGUGAAUGCUAAUUAUGGUCUUCAAUUCGUUGUUGGAAUUUUCCUGCAGUUUGAGUGUGUUUGUAAUUUAUUAUCAUUACUCUAUAUAUAAUAUGUCAUUUCCAGAACACAGGACCAGGAACAUCUGGAGGAGGAUUCCCAUGUCCCAAAUGUUAAGAUCUUCCAGUCUCGUGGGUCUGCAGACGUCUGCUGACACGGCCGUGUUCUAAAGAAACACCCGACUGGUUCCACAGGGAGACAUGAAGACGUAUCCGCUGCCUCCCACCUGAACUCCUCGUGGAGCUCCCACCAGUAGAACCCUUCCAAACGCCAUGGAGGACAGAGCGAGGCUCUUCAGGCUCCUGUCCUCCUCCCUCGCAGACAUCAUUCAGCCAACCACCUCCAGGGGAUCAACCAACACAUUUCUUCAGGAGCUGGAAAAUCUCCUCAAAACCCAAACUGAAAGCAAGCCCCGAGGGGGGGGGAGACAUCAGAUGAGAGGACGUCCUGUCCUCCACUCCGGAGCGCUCAUACACCCACGCUGGGUUCUGUCCCUCACCCGUCUCUGAGGGACCCGGUCAGGUUGUGUUGAGGGAGUUUACUGAAGAUAAACCCGUUUUCCCUCCGGGUCGAACACCUGAUGACGGAGGCGAUUGCAGCACCGACCUGAGCCGGGACGCCAGCACAGCGCCCCCCAGUGUGCAGGAGCAGAACCGCGGUGGAGGGCCGACACCCGGUUCGUCUCUCACGUCCUCCUCCUGGAUUCAAGGGCUGGAAUCGUUGUCUCAACGCGGCGCUCUCUGUUCUAACCGCCUCCUUAUUUUCAUACACGUACUGGAUAGUAGUAUUAGUACACAGUACUCAGAGGAGCAGUAUGAAGUAUUAUCACAUUGUUCUUCCUCCAUGACUCCCUGGACCCGUGUCAGCUCUGGAUGAGGAGCCCCGGGUGGGUGGAUGCUCCCUCUAUUGUGUGUGUGUGUGUGUGUGUGUGUGUGUGUGUGUGUGUGUGUGUGCGCUCGGCUGGGCGGAGCAGGAAGCUGGUUCGUAUUUAUAUCUGCAGCAGGACCUCGCUGUGACUCAGAGGCCUGCUGUGGUGACACUUCGUCCUCUGUUCCGUGUGCAGGCCGUUUGGAACCUACGUGAAAGUGUGCAGACGAUUUGGUUUUGUGUCAUUUGUUCUGUCUGUAAAUGACAUUUCAUUUCAGUUAUUGUGGAUUCUUGUUUUUGAUCUUGCUUCUGUUUGCAUUUUGACCUCUGCUGCUGUAAUCCUGUGACCUCAAAUGUUAACCCCCCGCCCCCCACAGGUCAGAGCAAUCUGUAACCAGAGGUCAGAGGUCAGAGUCCAGUGUUGGCUGACACGUUAAGGGGCCUUUUGGGAUAUUUAAUUCUACUUAAUAUUACAUCUGUGUCUCUGAUUCUUGCCCCAGGAAAAAAAGGUUCACAGCAGACUUUCCAUCUCUGUUAGUGAAGACUUGUUGAAACGGCACGAAGAAUCUUUUAGCACCUGACUGCAGAUCUGCUGCUUCCACGUUGUCGAGGCUCAUUUCUGAACCCCCCCCCCCAAAAAAAAACAAUUGCCCCGGUGCUUCGGGCGACUGGCCCCAGCCAGACAGAGAGCAGCAGGCAGCGGACUGAGGGAGGGCUGUAACGGAGUGUAACUCACAGGCCGAUGACGUGAGAAGGUUCUCUCCCCCCCCGGGUCGCCCGUCUCAUAACUCCCGCCCUCUCUGAUCCAGAUCCCCGCGGCCUCAUGCAAAGCAGGCCGGGAGGACGCCGCCAUGCUGGGAGCCACAGAGUGAAGACUCUGAGACACAAAAAAGAUCCCGAAAGCCGGGAAGGUUGAUGUCAUCGUUCGCUUUCAUCAGCCUCUGACGCCCAACAGACGAUUCAUCCAGCUCCUUUUUCCUGGUGAAAACAGUCAUAGAAGUGGGCUGAGAUCCAGUACGCAGGGCCCCGUCAAAAUAAAAGCCCCUGUAACAACGCUCUCUGAAUGGCCAUGUGGCAUGAAUGUUACUUACAGAAGUUUUAUUUUGAAAACCCAUGUACUGAGGUGAUGAUAAUGAUACUUACACAAACAGCUACACACACACACAC
ensembl:lncRNA